rnacentral:rRNA from 1 species
CAGUACGGGUGAGCUAACUCGAUGGGAAACGUACCCUCCGGUUCGGAAUAACUCAGGGAAACUUGUAGCUAACACCGGAUACUGCUUAUCGGCGAAAGAUUUAUCGCCGGAGGAUCGGCCCGCGUCCGAUUAGCUAGUUGGUGUGGUAACGGCGCACCANGGCGACGAUCGNUAGCUGGUCUGAGAGGAUGAUCAGCCACAUUGGGNGCUGAUACACGGCCCAAACUCCUACGGGAGGCAGCAGUGGGGAAUAUUGUACAAUGGGCGGAAGCCUGAUCCAGCCAUGCCGCGUGAGUGAUGAAGGCCCUAGGGUUGUAAAGCUCUUUCGCCCACGACGAUAAUGACGGUUAGUGGGAGAAGAGGCCCCGGCUAACUUCGUGCCAACAGCCGCGGUAAUACCAAAGGGGCUAGCGUUGUUCGAGAUUACUGGGCGUAAAGCGCG